rnacentral:lncRNA from 1 species
GGGUGUAGGGUAGGUUGAACAAAGAAGAAAAUUGGUUUAAAAUGUGGCGUUGGGAUGGGCAAAUAAUGGUAGGAAGGGAAACUUGAUGAUCGGAGUAAUAAGUGAUAAUGAUAAAAACUCGCAAGACUUCACUUUUUUUCUUCUUUUUUUUAACUCGAUUUUUUGUCACUUUUUUUUCCUUUUUUUUUUGAUUUCUUUUGAUUUUUUUUUCCGAAUUUCUUCUCUAUUUUUUUUAAAUCCAAUACAAUAGUAAACUAAAUACAAGGAAGAAAAAAAAUUAAAUUCCAACUCAAUUUUUUU